rnacentral:rRNA from 1 species
CCUUAUGCUUUUGGAGCNGCCGAUGUCUGAUUAGCUAGUUGGUAAGGUAAUGGCUUACCAAGGCAACGAUCAGUAGUUGGUCUGAGAGGACGACCAGCCACACUGGGACUGAGACACGGCCCAGACUCCUACGGGAGGCAGCAGUGGGGAAUUUUGGACAAUGGGCGCAAGCCUGAUCCAGCAAUGCCGCGUGAGUGAAGAAGGCCUUCGGGUUGUAAAGCUCUUUCAGUUGAGAAGAAAAGAUUGUGACUAAUAAUUGCAAUUCAUGACGGUAUCAACAGAAGAAGCACCGGCUAACUACGUGCCAGCAGCCGCGGUAAUACGUAGGGUGCGAGCGUUAAUCGGAAUUACUGGGCGUAAAGGGUGCGCAGGCGGUUCUGUAAGUCAGAUGUGAAAUCCCCGGGCUUAACCUGGGAACU